rnacentral:lncRNA from 1 species
UAGUGAUACGAGAUCAAAGGCCCGACAAAUGCGUUCCAAACUAAAUUGGACCAUCUAGGAGUUUGUUAGUAAGGCCUUAGAUGCGUACACAAAAGAAAGGGAAAAUCAAGAUUUCAAAUAUUGGGAAUCUUGGUCCAAGACACCAAAUCUUGCAGCCAAAGCGCAUUGGAUCUCCAUUACGAGCAUCAACGAUUCAAUUUCGGUAGGAGAUGGAUCACAAGCCCAAAUUCUUGAGGGCAAGGCCCAAUAAGAAGAUUCCAAGCCCAAUCAAGAAAUCCACCCAUACUUAGUUGAAAAUCAGGCCAAAUUGUCAAAGUGGCCCAAGUUGUAAAGUUUUAUUUUUAUUUAUUUAUUUAUUUUAUUUAGUUUAAAUUUUUAUAUUCAGUCCAAGAGUCCCAAAUAAAAGACCCUUGGCCGAAUUUCCAUAUUAAAAUAAUUAGGAGUUUUUUUUAGUUUUAGUUUUAGUGUUCUAAUUAAAUUAGGAAAACAUUUGAAAGGCCUAUUUAUAUGGCUUGGCCAGCCACCCUACUUAAUAUUACAAUUACAUUGAAAAUUUCAGAUUUGAUUUGAGUGAAAAUUCUCUUUGAGUUCUUCAAGGAUUUUCUCUUGGGUUUUCUUUAGAAGUUGUUUUAACAAUCUUUUUGAUUGUGGGAGCCAUCUUCAACCUUCUUCUUGCCAUUGAUAUUCUUUGGAGGGGAGAUUAGAGCCGUUUGAAGGGAGUUGUGAGAUCUUUCGAGAUUUCAAGGCUUCUUAGGACUUAUCUUUUAAUUUCUUACUGUCAAUUCUUUCUUUAUUUC